rnacentral:rRNA from 1 species
AUGGUGGUCCAAGAGAGGCUUACACGCACCAACACGUUGGCUGGUUAUUUGGACGAUUUCCAACUUAUUGGACGUGAAAAAGAAAAAUCUGAUAUUGCUGAACUAAUUGAAGAACAAGCUAGCACCCAAGAAUCUCAGGUGAUCGCUGUGUGGGGAAUGGGAGGUCUCGGAAAAACUACUCUAAUCAAAGAUGUUUACCAAAGACAAGGAGUCAGUAACACAUUUGGGAAACAUGCUUUUGUCACGGUCUUGCGCCCUUUCAAGCUUGAAGAGCUCCUUAGAAGCUUAGUAUUGCAACUAGUUGUAAGGGAAGACGCCCUGGACUUUGCUGGUGACACCCAAAAAAACAUUGGUUUGAUGGGAGUGGCAGACUUGAUUGAAGUGUUGGGCAGACGUUCAGAAGGAAAGAGGUGUUUGAUUGUUCUCGAUGACCUCUCAGCUAUGGUAGAAUGGGAUAAAAUAUCGCCAAGUUUACAUGAAAUAAAAAAUCUGGUUAUUGUGAUCACCACAAGGCGAGAGGAUAUUGCUAAACAUUGUUGCCAAAAACCAAAAUGCAUACGACUUGCUCAACGGUCUUGA